rnacentral:rRNA from 1 species
UACGGAGGGAGCUAGCGUUGUUCGGAAUUACUGGGCGUAAAGCGCGCGCAGGCGGUUUUUCAAGUCAGUGGUGAAAGCCCGGGGCUCAACCCCGGAACUGCCAUUGAAACUGUUGAACUUGAGGACGAGAGAGGUGAGUGGAAUUCCCAGUGUAGAGGUGAAAUUCGUAGAUAUUGGGAAGAACACCAGUGGCGAAGGCGGCUCACUGGCUCGUUUCUGACGCUCAGGCGCGAUAGCGUGGGGAUCAAACGGG